ensembl:lncRNA
AGGUGACUGACAUCCUGAAUGCAAAUAGAUCCACAGCUUCGGUUAUAUGUCUGAGUCUCCAGAAGAACUGUGGAAGAUUCUCCAAAAUGCUCUCACCAGUUCAUUUCCUUAUGAAACUGCAUACCUGAGACUGCUGAUGAAUUUUUAAAACCAAAGGGUUGUCACACCAAAUACUGAUAUUUUUUUAUUGCUGUUUGUUUGUUUGUUUUUACUGUUAACUGCUCUUUAUGUAGAAAUGUAGAAAUAGGCAUAUUUGCUUUACAGCCUUUCUAUUCAUGUACCUACGCUCUUUUGCACAGCACUGUCUAUUCAUAACUUUGGUAUCUCUUUGUAAAAGGGGUAUUGUGUUUUGCACCUCCCUGAAAUAUUUUCUAACAGAUAUAUUUGGUUCUUUUUGUUGCAUCCCAUGGGAUCCCAGUCCUGAUGCACACCUCGGGUCUCAACCAGAUCUCCAUGUAAACCUUUCCGGCAAGCAUUCUUAAAAUGUGUAUAUCUUCAAAAAUUGCCCAUAUGAUCUUUCAGAAAGUAGAACAUUUCAAACACACUAAACAUGAAUAUAACAAUUUAUUUGAUUAAGCAAGCGGUGUACUAAGAAAGCUUAUAUUUAGUAUAACCGCACUGGGACAUUUCAUAUCAUUAUGCUCGUCUGUGUUUGCCACAUAAAUUCCACAUAAAGUUUCACUUCUAACGUCUAUAGUUCUAAGUCAUUACUACAGUUGAGUUAGCAACAUCAUCAGUGGGCAUGGCAAGCGAUACAUUUUACAUGAAUAUAAUAAAUGAAUAUAAGUGACGCAACAGAAAAUCGUUAUUGUCCUAUCGUCUGGAGAUUGCGAGUUCGAAUCCUGAUUAUCCCACAGCCAUCCGUGGCUGGGAGCCCAAGAGAGCAAAACUGGCCCCUCAGGGAGCUCCUAUUAAUUAUAGCGACACUAGACAAUCAUGGACAUCAGUGAGUGCAUGCUUGCAAAAGUGGGUGAAUAGCGCUUUCCUCCGAGUAGCUGCCAUGAUUGGUGGGAUUUGGCCAUGACUAUAUUAUAUUAUGGGGCGCACGGUGGCUUAGUGGUUAGCACGUUUGGGUAGGGGGUUCGAUUCCCACCGUGGCCCUGUGUGUCCGGAGUUUGCAUGUUCUCCCCGUGCUGCGGGGGCUUCCUCCGGUACUCCGGUCCCCCCCCCAGUCCAAAGACAUGCAUGGUAAGCUGAUUGGCAUGUCCAAAAUGCCCGUAGUGUAUGAAUGGGUGUGUGAAUGUGUAUGUUAGUGUGCCCCGCCUUGUGCCCGAUGCUCCCUAGGAUAGGCUCCAGGUUUCCCCAUGACCCUGCAAAAGGAUUAAGUGGUAUAGAAGAUGGAUGGAUGGAUAUAUUAUAUUAUGGCAAUCUUUACUUCUGACAGACUCUGGCUCUCUAAGAUACUCUUUUUAUACCCAAUCAUGUUACUGACCUGUUUCCAAUUAAUCUAAUUAUUUCCAAAAUAUUCCUCCGGCUGUUUCUUUUCAGUAGCACUUACUUUUCUGGCCUUUUGUUGCCUCUGUCCCAACUUUUUGAGACAUGUUGCGGCCAUCAAAUUAAAAAUUACCUUGUUUUUUUUCUUAAAAUGGUACAUUUCCUCAGUUUAAACAUUUGAUGUGUUUUUUAUGUUCUAUUGUGAAUAACAUAUGGGUUUAUGAGAUUUGCAAAACAUUGCAUUCUGUUUUUAUUUACAUUUAUUUACAUGUUACAACGCAUCCCAACUUUUUUGGAAUUGGGGUGGCCACGCCCUAUUAACAAAUUAC